UGAGGAAUAUUGGUCAAUGGGCGAGAGCCUGAACCAGCCAAGUAGCGUGCAGGAUGACGGCCCUAUGGGUUGUAAACUGCUUUUAUAUGGGAAUAAAGUGAGGGACGUGUCCCUUAUUGCAUGUACCAUACGAAUAAGGACCGGCUAAUUCCGUGCCAGCAGCCGCGGUAAUACGGAAGGUCCAGGCGUUAUCCGGAUUUAUUGGGUUUAAAGGGAGCGUAGGCUGUUUGUUAAGCGUGUUGUGAAAUGUAGGAGCUCAACUUUUAGAUUGCAGCGCGAACUGGCAGACUUGAGUGCGCACAACGUAGGCGGAAUUCAUGGUGUAGCGGUGAAAUGCUUAGAUAUCAUGAAGAACUCCGAUUGCGAAGGCAGCUUACGGGGGCGCAACUGACGCUGAAGCUCGAAGGUGCGGGUAUCGAACAGG
rnacentral:rRNA from 1 species